rnacentral:rRNA from 1 species
CAGCCCCGCGGUAAUACGGAGGGUGCAAGCGUUAAUCGGAAUUACUGGGCGUAAAGCGCACGCAGGCGGUUUGUUAAGUCAGAUGUGAAAUCCCCGGGCUCAACCUGGGAACUGCAUUUGAAACUGGCAAGCUAGAGUCUCGUAGAGGGGGGUAGAAUUCCAGGUGUAGCGGUGAAAUGCGUAGAGAUCUGGAGGAAUACCGGUGGCGAAGGCGGCCCCCUGGACGAAGACUGACGCUCAGGUGCGAAAGCGUGGGGAGCAAACAGGAUUAGAUACCCCUGUAGUCCCUGUCUCUUAUACC